rnacentral:rRNA from 1 species
UACGAAGGGGGCUAGCGCUGCUCGGAAUUACUGGGCGUAAAGCGCACGUAGGCGGAUCUUUAAGUCAGGGGUGAAAUCCUGGAGCUCAACUCCAGAACUGCCUUUGAUACUGAGGACCUUGAGUUCGGGAGAGGUGAGUGGAACUGCGAGUGUAGAGGUGAAAUUCGUAGAUAUUCGCAAGAACACCAGUGGCGAAGGCGGCUCACUGGCCCGAUACUGACGCUGAGGUGCGAAAGCGUGGGGAGCAAACAGG